GACGAACGCUGGCGGCGUGCCUAACACAUGCAAGUCGAGCGAGUGGAUCUCCUUCGGGAGAGAAGCUAGCGGCGGACGGGUGAGUAACACGUGGGCUACCUGCCUCAUAGAGGGGAAUAGCCUCCCGAAAGGGAGAUUAAUACCGCAUAAGAUUGUAGCUUCGCAUGAAGUAGCAAUUAAAGGAGCAAUCCGCUAUGAGAUGGGCCCGCGGCGCAUUAGCUAGUUGGUGAGGUAACGGCUCACCAAGGCGACGAUGCGUAGCCGACCUGAGAGGGUGAUCGGCCACAUUGGGACUCAGACACAGCCCAGACUCCUGCGAGAGACAGCAGUGGGGAAUAUUGCACAAGGGGGGAAACCCUGAUGCAGCAACGCCGCGUGAGUGAUGACGGCCUUCGGGUUGUAAAGCUCUGUCUUCAGGGACGAUAAUGACGGUACCUGAGGAGGAAGCCACGGCUAACUACGUGCCAGCCGCCGCAGUAAAAC
rnacentral:rRNA from 1 species